UUGGGGGGCAGGGUGACUGGUCGGGCAGGUAACAUGGUAUUAUACAGGCCUGAUGGGGACUGUGACAAACUGAAAAGCAGGGUUUCAACCAGUUAGCGGCCUAUGGGAGUUCCAGAAUCAUCAUCAUCAUCUUUUUUUUUAUUUUUAUUUUUGGAAAACUCUCGGCCAGGCGCAGUGGAAUACCCAGCAGAGACCAGGCUCCUACCUUCAUGGGACUUCUACCUUCAUGGGACUUCUGCUUGUUUCCCUACAUUCAAAGUCACCCUCCCCACAGCCCUCUGUCCUCUUACACAUUAAGUACCCUAC
rnacentral:lncRNA from 10 species